GGCUACACACGUGCUACAAUGGGUAGAACAGAGAGUUGCAAAGCUGUGAAGUGGAGCUAAUCUCAGAAAACUAUUCUUAGUUCGGAUUGUACUCUGCAACUCGAGUACAUGAAGUUGGAAUCGCUAGUAAUCGCGAAUCAGCAAUGUCGCGGUGAAUACGUUCUCGGGUCUUGUACACACCGCCCGUCACACCACGAGAGUUGGUUGCACCUGAAGUAGCAGGCCUAACCGUAAGGAGGGAUGCUCCGAGGGUGUGAUUAGCGAUUGGGGUGAAGUCGUAACAAGGUAUCCGUACGGGGACGU
rnacentral:rRNA from 1 species